GACGAACGCUGGCGGCGUGCCUAAUGCAUGCAAGUCGAGCGGGCUACGAUCUUCGGAUUGUAGCUUAGCGGCGAACGGGUGAGUAACACGUAGGUAAUCUACCCUUCAGAGGAGGACAACCUCAGGAAACUGAGGCUAAACCUUCAUACGUUCACUGGUAGGGAUACUGGUGAAGAAAGAGUUACCUUAGUGGUAGCUGCUGAAGGAUGAGCCUGCGGCCCAUCAGGUAGUUGGUGAGGUAACGGCUCACCAAGCCGAAGACGGGUAACCGGUCUGAGAGGAUGUCCGGUCACACUGGGACUGAGACACGGCCCAGACUCCUACGGGAGGCAGCAGCAGGGAAUCUUGGGCAAUGGGCGAAAGCCUGACCCAGCGACGCCGCGUGGAGGAAGAAGUCCUUCGGGGCGUAAACUCCUGGACUGGGGGACGAGGAAGGACGGUACCCCAGUAGAAAGGGACGGCUAACUACGUG
rnacentral:rRNA from 3 species